UGUCAGCUCAGCAACCUGCAGAAUUAUUUAUCUUGGCAACACUGCCUAGAUGGAACGUCUGAAUGGUAAGAACUACCUGACUUGGGCUCUCAAGCAUGAACUGGUUCUAAAAUGUGAUAGACUUUGGCACUGUGUGGAAACUGGUUUGAAUCCACAACCCUCUGAGCAGGAAUGUGAAGAGGAUGAUAGAGCCAGAGCACACAUUUUGUUGGCUCUAGAGGAACCACAUGUCCUGCACAUUGCAGAUUUGGACUCUGCCAAACAAUACUGGGAUCAUCUACAUCAGAUACACCUGUCUGACAGUGCUGGUUCAAAAAUUGGACUAACUAGGAGACUGUAUAGAACUGUGCUACUUGAAGGUGGAUGUUUAACUACACAUCUCCAGACAUUGUGUAUGUUAUUCCUCCAGUUGCAAAGGAGAGGAAAAAGAUUUCCAGACCUGGAUCAAGUCUAUAUCCUGCUAUACAGUCUCCCACCAAGCUUUAAUAUUGUGAUAGCCUCUCUUGAAAGCAUGAGGCAAGAAGAUUUAUCGAUGGUGUACGCAACAACCCGUCUACAGGAGGAAUCUGAAAAACGCGUGGAAAAGCUGAGAAGGCAGACCAGAAGAGUUUGAGUCGCCCUGCUAAGCAGAAACCCAGAUUCUCAGGAGGAGAUGGGACCGAAGAACGCUCCAUGGAUUGUGCCAUGUUGGCAAAGAAAUGCUAUCAGUGUGGCAAGCUCGGGCACAUGAAGAAAGAUUGUCGUGUGAAAAACCAAGGAAAAGCGAGACAGGAAAACGGACACAUUUCGUCUUGGCCGCCGCAAGAAAAGAAAAGAAAAUUUCUCCAGACAGCUACAUUUUGGACUCUGGCUCUGCCAGAAUCAUAAUGAACAGCCUUGACUGCUUUACAACACUCAGCAAAUUGCCAAAAGGCAAGGACAGCAUUUGUUUUGCUGAGGGGCGGCAUUGCCCAAUAUCAGGUAUAGGUACGUGUUAUUUGCCAUGCCUAGAUGCAGAAUUGAGGGAUGUAUUGUUUGUUGAAGAACUAGAAUUUUCUUUAUUGUCAAUUUCAUGCCUUACCAAUGUUGGUUUCGAAUUUAUGUUUGAAGGUGAUGAAUGUUUUAUUAAGAAGCAGGGCAAGGUAAUUGCUUCUACUAAAAUGGUGGACAGCUUGUACCCUUUACAGCAUUCUCCGCCAAGUGAUGGGGUCACAGAGAGACCUAAAGCUGGAAAAAAUGAUGUGUUAAUAACUGAACAGGAUAGGUGGGAAUAGGUUCAUGCCAAUCCUAGUAUUUUAAUUCCUCUCUCAGUACAACCACAGGAGCCCCUCAGGCAGCCAGCUGCUGAGAAAGACUAGAAAGUGGGGAAAAUUUGCCCUGACACUGACACUUUGCAAAGUGCCACAAGCGGUGAAUCAGAGGAAAAACAAAAUGAUGAACUGGAGGAGCAACAAGAGAAGGAAAGCCCAGCGGUUAUUCCUAGGAGGUCCACACGGACUACCAAGGGUAUUCCCCCUGAUAAAUUGACUUUUGGUGCAACAAAAGUGUGUCAUGUUAAUUGUACAGAGCUAUGGGUUUUUGCUCAAGUUCUGAAACUACCUUCCAAGGAACAAACCCAGUGGUUUGACGCCAUGAAAGAAGAGUUGGUAUCAUUCAGCUGACAAGAAAUUGGAAGUAAGUCAUUAUGAUAUUACUUCUGCAUAUCUAAAUGCUCCUCUGGACCAGGUGAUAUACAUGCGACAACCCCCAGGGUUUGAGGAGGGGAAUUAUUUGGUGUGGAAAUUAGACAAAGCUGCCUAUGGUCUUAGGCAAAGUGCUAAAUGCUGGAACGAUUGUAUAAACACACAACUCUUAAAUCUUGGAUUUAAAAGGAGCAUUGCUGACCCUUGCUUGUAUACAAGAGGAUCAGGUGACAAUUACAUAUUGGUUUUGAUCUUUGUAGAUGACUUGAUGGUGGCAGGUAGUUCCACAGGAAAAAUUCAAAAGAUAGCAAAUCAGUUGGAAAAAUAUUUCAAACUGAAAGACCUAGAACCAAUAAGUCACUAUUUAGGGGUCCAAAUAUGCAGAGAAACAGAUGGAAGUUUCUUAAUAUGCCAAGAGCAAAAGAUUAAAGGUCUGCUUGAACAGCUAGAAAUGCAGGAUUGCAAUGCUGUGCAAACCCCUAUGACUGUAGAUUUUCAGAAGACUGAAAGUGAUGUUUUGUUUGAUCAACCAGAUUUAUACCAAUUGGUAAUAGGAUCUCUUCUGUACCUGAGCCAAUGGUCAAGGCCUGAUAUUUCAUUUUGUGUAGGUAUUCUAAGCAGAAAAGCAAGUAAGCCUAGUGUACUUGAUUGGGCUGCUGUGAAGCAAAUACUGAGAUACCUGAAGGGUACACAGAAUAAGUGUAUAAAGUUAUCUGCAUCUAAUUCAAGUUAUUUGCAGGUGUUUGUGGACAGUGACUUUGCAAAUUGUCCAUCCACGAGAAAAUCAACCAGCGGUCUAGUGGUCAUGUUUAGAAAUUCACAAAUUGGUUGGAAAUCCAAAAAGCAAGAUUUUGUUGCCACAUCUAUGUGUGAGGCAGAAUUUUCUGCAUUAUCUGAAGCGUGUAACGAAGUCACAUGGUACAUCCAGGUAUUAAAUGAUUUGGGAUAUGAAGUGCAACAGCCUGUCACAAUCUAUGAGGAUAAUCAAGCUUGUAUCACAAUUGCUAAUUCAGGGAACACUUCAGCACAUGCAAAACACGUGGCCAUCAAAUUUUUCAGUGUUAAAGACUAUAUACAACGUAAUGUGAUUAAGUUGGUUUAUUGUCAAUCACAGGAAAAUUUGUCUGAUUUAUUUACAAAAGCGUUCCCUAGGGUGCAACAUGUUGAACUGAUUGCAAAGCUAAAUCUUGUGGACAAAAUAUAUGAAUAAGUUAAUUUUUCAUGUUUAUACUUAUGCUCUCUAGGUCUUUGGGGGACUGUCAUGUGACAUAGACACAUGAGAGCAGAAGCAGCAAAGCAGGCUGGGAAGUGCUGAGACUGCACAAUCAUUUGGACCUACUAAAGUUAUUCAGGCUUAACUGCUAGCUGUUGAGUCACCCUGACACGUGACUUAGCAGCCAGUUUCUCUUUGUGCUCUCUGUAAGCUUUCAGUCAGUCAUUCUGCCUUAUUUGUGAGCAGAGUCAGUAUGUAAUCUCAGUCAAACUGUUUGGAACCAUGUUGUUUAUGAAGAAGUUUAUUUACUCAGUAAAGCUUUUAUUCUUUAAAACUCUGCAUUAUUAAUUUACGCUGCACGUCAGUUUUGUAUUAGAAUAUUGAGAGACUGAAUUCAUCAAAUGUCCCCAAAUGAUUUCCUCCACCUCAGAUAGUAGCUGUUGAGACUAGGGUUGGUAAUUGCUUCUACAGUGUCUGGUGCCCUCCAUGGAGCCAAUUCAUACCCUACUGAAAUGCUGUGUCAUUUUAGUAACACAAAGCUGGGUCUAGCACCUGAGGGAUUCCAAACACCUUAUUUUCUGUUCAUCAUUCUGCUCUUUAAUUUAUGAAUUAGGCCUGUCCUCUUUCGGCCUGCACUAAAAGUUGCCAACCAGGAUCUAGCAAGAAAGUGAAAGAAGGGAAGCCAUUUUGCUGUUAUGACUGCAUCCUAUGUCCAGAGGGCAAGAUUUCAAACCAGGGAGGUAAGAGACAUAAAUGAUUGCACAGUCAAUUGAACUUAGUUUCCUCACACAUGAUGGGGAUCUAAAUCUAGCAAUGGCUAACAAGCCACCAUAUUUUUUGCUCUAUAAGAUGCACCAGACCAUAAGACGCACCUAGUGUUUGGAGGAAAUCGAGAGAAAAAAUAUUCUGAAUCCCAGAAGCCAGAACAGCAAGAGGGAUCUGGCUUCUGGGACAGCCUCUUGCUGUUCUGGCUUCUGGGAUAGCCACGCAUAGCCUCUCCCGGGCAGCGGAAUGAAGGCUUCCCCUACUCGGAAGAGGCUGUGCGCGGCUAACCUGCCCUCUGUCCCUUCCCCCACCUCUUCCAAAAGCCAGCCAAGAGCGGCGAACUGUUUAAAGGGAGCACUGCUCUUGUGGGCUUUUGCAGGAGGUGGGGGAAGGGACAGAGCCACGCUCUGUCCCUUCCCCCCAUCUCCCGCAAAAGCCGAGUGCUCUUUAAAAGGAAAACAGGAAGACACAAUGAGAGAUAAAGGAGGUGCUGUGGGAUUGGUGGAAGUCAAUGUCUUCUUGUUGUUUUAGUGUUUAUAAUAUUAACUUGUAAGAUAUGGAUUUGUUUGUUUGUUUUUGUUUUGUUUUUGUUUUUUUGUUUUCAAAUGUUGAUUUUUGUGUGUUGUGUAUUGUUAUUUUUUGAUAUCUUUCGUGUUGUUGUUGUGUGGAAAAUACUAAUAAAAUGCAUUAAAAAAAUAAAAAAAUAAAGGGAGCGUGGCUCUUGGGGGCUUUCUGGGAGGCGGGGGAAGGGACAGAGCUGCGCGCCCUGUCUCUUCCCCCACCUCCUGCAAAAGCCAGGGAUAGUCGCAUGAAGCCAGAAGCUAGAACAGCAAGAGGGAGCACUGCGCAGGGCUCCCUCUCCCUGUUCUGGCUUCUGGGAUAGCCGCGUAGCCUGCAUUUGCUCCAUAAGAUGCACACACAUUUCCCCUUACUUCUUAGUAGGGGAAAAGUGCAUCUUAUAGAGCGAAAAAUAAGGUAUUUUCAAAGGGGCUGUUAUGGAUAAGAGUCUGAUGCUGUGCUAACCAGAGCCAAUAAUCACACCAGGAUGUGGGGGUAUUUUAUUGAGACUGCAGUAAUAUGGUACUGGGAAAUGGAUUCCAAAGCCUAUAUAUCUCAUGGGUGCCCAGGAAAUAUUUUUAUGCAUGAUGCUUAGAUCAAGCCAUCAGGAGGAUAUAUCAUGUUACAUGCUGAUUGGUUACAAAGCAUUUUCGUAGAAUCAAGGUAUUUGCACACUAUUCAGCUUUUCUGCUUGUUUUUCAGAUUCAUGGUAAUACCAUCUAUCUUCUUCUACUGCUUCCUUAUUCUGAAAUCUAAGGGCAGGUUUCUCUCUCCUCUUUCUCACAAAACUGAGAAUAUGGGCAAUUUUUAUUCACCACAGUCAUGGGAUGCUUUUUCAUACCUCACCUGGCUUACCACAUCCUUGCCAUUAUAGCCCCAAAUCAUAUUAUAGCACCACAUAGCUCCAAAGCAAUUAAACAAGUCCCCACAACAUUUCUUAGUAUUUGCCAAUUUGAAUAGAUACAUUUCUUUUUCUGAAUUUGAGGGAAAGGCAUGGGAUGUUUCUGGGACUGAUAGUAUAUAUGUGAGCUAAGGUUCAUACUUUUCUUUUCCCAGAUAUGAAUGACUGUACUAAAUGCUCAGAUGAAAACUAUCCAAACAAGGAACGAGAUAUAUGCAUUCCCAAAGGCAUCAGCUUCUUGUCGUAUGAAGAACCUUUAGGCAUCAGUUUAGCUAUAGUUGCUCUUUCUUUUGCUUUCAUCACAACUCUGGUACUGGGAACAUUUCUGAAGAACCACAAGACUCCCAUUGUCAAAGCCAACAACCAGAAUAUCACCUAUACUCUCCUUGUCACCCUCUUGCUAUGCUUUCUUUGUGCUUUACUGUUCAUUGGCCAACCGAAAAAGAUGACAUGUCUCCUGCAACAAGCUGCUUUUGGCAUCAUCUUUUCAGUGGCUGUUUCCUGUGUACUGGCAAAAACUGUCACUGUGAUUCUGGCUUUCACGGCCACAAAACCAGGAUCCAGGAUGAGAAUGUGGGUGGGGAGAAGGCUGGCCAACUCCAUUGUCAUUUCCUGCUCCCUUAUUCAAGCAGGCAUCUGUACACUGUGGUUGGCAAUCUCUCCCCCAUUCCCAGAUGUUGACAAGCAUUCAAUGCCUGAGGAAAUUAUACUAGAAUGUAAUGUGGGGACUGUGAUUAUGUUUUACUGUGUCCUUAGUUACAUGGGCCUUCUAGCAAUAAUUAGUUUCACAGUGGCUUUCCUUGCCAGGAAAUUGCCAGACAUUUUCAAUGAAGCAAAGUUUAUCACUUUCAGCAUGUUGGUAUUUUGCAGUGUUUGGUUGUCCUUUGUUCCAUCCUACCUGAGUACCAAGGGGAAAUAUACAGUAGCUGUGGAGAUCUUCUCUAUCUUAGCCUCCAGUGCUGGUCUAUUAGGUUGCAUCUUUUCCCCCAAAUGUUAUAUUAUUUUGUUGAGGCCUGAGCUGAAUAUUAGGGAACAGAUAAUAAGCAUUAACAAAAUGAAGAAUUAAAUAUCUGUGUUUUGCUGUAUGCUAUGUAGGGAAAACACCUCACUUUAUUACCAGCUUUUAUUUACACUGCUGAUUCAACUUCUAACCACUACCACCAUAAAUAUGAGGGAUGAAGGCCCUGCCCUUUGAAUAUGUUGAUAGUUACACAGAUGCAUGUGUGAGAGAAAAAUCACUGCUUUAUUAGGGUUGCCAUAUUCCCAAAAGUGAAAAUCCAGACAUAGUUGUUCAGCCC